GACGAACGCUGGCGGCGUGCUUAACACAUGCGAGUCGAACGGAAAGGCCCUGCUUUUGUGGGGUGCUCGAGUGGCGAACGGGUGAGUAACACGUGAGUAACCUGCCCUUGACUUUGGGAUAACUUCAGGAAACUGGGGCUAAUACCGGAUAGGAGCUCCUGCUGCAUGGUGGGGGUUGAAAAGUUUCGGCGGUUGGGGAUGGACUCGCGGCUUAUCAGCUUGUUGGUGGGGUAGUGGCUUACCAAGGCUUUGACGGGUAGCCGGCCUGAGAGGGUGACCGGCCACAUUGGGACUGAGAUACGGCCCAGACUCCUACGGGAGGCAGCAGUGGGGAAUAUUGCACAAUGGGCGGAAGCCUGAUGCAGCAACGCCGCGUGCGGGAUGACGGCCUUCGGGUUGUAAACCGCUUUCGCCUGUGACGAAGCGUGAGUGACGGUAAUGGGUAAAGAAGCACCGGCUAACUACGUG
rnacentral:rRNA from 1 species